rnacentral:rRNA from 1 species
UUGGGCAAUGGGCGAAAGCCUGACCCAGCAACGCCGCGUGAGGGAUGAAGUAUUUCGGUAUGUAAACCUCGAAAGAAUGGGAAGAAUAAAUGACGGUACCAUUUAUAAGCUCCGGCUAACUACGUGCCAGCAGCCGCGGUAAUACGUAGAGAGCAAGCGUUGUUCGGAUUUACUGGGCGUAAAGGGCGCGUAGGCGGCGCGGUAAGUCACUUGUGAAAUCUCUGAGCUUAACUCAGAACGGCCAAGUGAUACUGCUGUGCUAGAGUGCGGAAGAGGCUACCGGAAUUCUUGGUGUAGCGGUGAAAUGCGUAGAUAUCAAGAGGAACACCUGAGGCGAAGGCGGGUUGCUGGGCCGACACUGACGCUGAUGCGCGAAAGCCAGGGGAGCAAACG